rnacentral:rRNA from 1 species
GAUGAACGCUGGCGGCGUGCCUAAUACAUGCAAGUCGAGCGAACAGACGAGGAGCUUGCUCCUCUGACGUUAGCGGCGGACGGGUGAGUAACACGUGGAUAACCUACCUAUAAGACUGGGAUAACUUCGGGAAACCGGAGCUAAUACCGGAUAAUAUAUUGAACCGCAUGGUUCAAUAGUGAAAGACGGUUUUGCUGUCACUUAUAGAUGGAUCCGCGCCGCAUUAGCUAGUUGGUAAGGUAACGGCUUACCAAGGCGACGAUGCGUAGCCGACCUGAGAGGAUGAUCGGCCACACUGGAACUGAGACACGGUCCAGACUCCUACGGGAGGCAGCAGUAGGGAAUCUUCCGCAAUGGGCGAAAGCCUGACGGAGCAACGCCGCGUGAGUGAUGAAGGUCUUCGGAUCGUAAAACUCUGUUAUUAGGAAAGAACAAAUGUGUAAGUAACUAUGCACGUCUUGACGGUACCUAAUCAGAAAGCCACGGCUAACUACGUG